GCUACACUGGUUGAUUAUUGCAGGAAUGAAAGGCACUCUGACCUUGUCGACCAAACGCCUUGCAGCUUUCAAUGCUGCCCAUUAUCCUGAAGGCAGGCAACUCCUGGAGAGAGGCAGAAUCUGCAGGAGAGCUGCUCCCCGGGCAACCUGCCAGAAAAGGCUUCAUCAGCCGCAGUUCAGACGUGGCCAAACAGCUCAGGCAGCAAAGGAAACAGCUGGGGGGUGGGGGGGGUGGAAACAGAGUAUAUAAAAAUAUUGUUAGCCCGCAGUCUAAAGAGCUCUGGGGCAUCUGUGCCUUAGAAAAAGCCUUUGCUCACGUUGCCCCGCGUGGUCUUCGGCGGGGAACUGAGGAUCCACGUGGGAAGUUCUGCUGAGGAAGGAAGCCGUCACCGAAGUUCCAUGGCCAGUAUGGAGCCCAGUGCAGGGCUUGAACUCAGGACCCGGAGGCAAGACCUGAGCUGGUACUCCGAGUCUGUCGCUUCACCGACUGAGCCAGGCAGAGACACACACACAGCGAGAGAAGGAACACAAGCAGAGGGAGUAGGAGAGGGAGAAGCAGGCCGCCAGCCGAGCAGGGAGCUCAACUCCGGUCUCGAUCCCAGGAUCCCGGGAUCAUGGCCUGAACUGAAGGCAGACGCUUAACAACUGAGCCACCCAGACACCCCAGAGAAAGACUGACUGGCCAUCCUAUUCUGGCUAUUUGUAUGUAUUUGUCGGUUAAUAAAUUGGAGGCAAUCUAAUUCAACCAUCAGUCAAUAAGCAUCAGCUGUUUUCGAGGGGGGGUGGAAAUAAUCAACAAUGCAGAGGUCUUGUCCUUUAAAAAAAAAAAAAAAAGUUCCUCAGAGAGUUAAAAAGCUGUGAUUCAGAGAAAUGCUCCAGUUAAUGAUUAGAGUAACGGGGUGUCUGCUGCUGGUAAGGGAGCCAUCAGAGGAACAUAGAUAGAAAUAUCUGCUGAACUGAAGGAGUAGAGGUAACUGAUGCCCUAGCCUGUGCUGUCUUUAGGCGUUAAGUAACAAAAAUUCCACUGGGUCAAUCCUGAAGAUCUAAUUGGCUUCAUUAAUCAAUUCGUGACUCAAGCGGCAUCUCAUCUUGUGAAGAGAGGGGAGCUGCAAAGAGCUGCCUCAAAGAAAAGGUUUCCAAAGGUAGAGAGGGAGUGGGAAAAAAGGAAAUGAGUAGCAAAGAAUCCAUUGUUUUAGGCGAGAUUGCCCUCCUAAGAGGAAUGGGAGGGGUCUAUUAAUAAAUUUCCCAGUGCGGACCAGGAAACUCCCAUGUUGGCUGGCUAAAGGUCACAUUCCUGGGGAUUGAAA